AGCCUGCAGUGAACAGCUUUAAUUUCUGACACCUCAGAUGAAAACUGCAUGGGAAAUCUGACUCAUUCACGGAUGCAGCUC
rnacentral:snoRNA from 1 species